GCAAGAAGAAGGAGCUGCCCGGAGAAAGUGAUCAAAGCUGACCGAAGAGAAAAUGAUCAGAGGGCUUGUGAUCAACGCAAACAGAGACCGUUGGAUUGAGGCGAAGAGCGAAGCGUCAAGGUUUUCUCCUUUUAUUUUUUCCUUUUUCCCUUACCUCUGUUCUUCACCCUAUAAAAGAGGGUUUUGUAAAUAACAAUGAGUGUGAAG
rnacentral:lncRNA from 1 species